rfam:Clostridium sp. CAG:277 genomic scaffold, scf100
GGGGUUGUACAGGUUUCGACGGGCUCGCUGAAGAUGGAGAAGCUGUCCGUGGUCGGACACCACGUUAAAAGUUCGAAAUUAAAAUUAAACGCUGAAGAUAAUUUAGCACUGGCUGCCUAGUUGCAGCCCAUCGGUCCUAGCGCCCCGCCGUUAGGGGUUCCGGUGUCGACCUGCGGGAAACUCUGAUGCCUAAGCUUUGCGGUAUCAGAAAAUUCAUGAAGCUACUGAAGACUGCAGCCUGUUAGUGGGCGUCAGCCGGAGGGAAUGUAAAAGCACUGACUAUGACAGUAGAAGGACAUUGGAUCCGGGUUCGGACAGGGGUUCGAUUCCCCUCAGCUCCACUA